rnacentral:rRNA from 1 species
CGUGUAGGCGGUGCGGUAAGUUGGGCGUGAAAUCCCCGAGCUUAACUCGGGUGGGCCGUUCAAGACUGCCGUGCUAGGGUGCGGGAGAGGGAAGUGGAAUUUCCGGUGUAGCGGUGAAAUGCGUAGAUAUCGGGAGGAACACCUGCGGCGAAGGCGCUUCCUGGACCGUAACCGACGCUGAGGCGCGAAAGCUAGGGGAGCAAACAGGAUUAGAUACCCUGGUAGUCCUAGCCCUAAACGAUGAGCACUGGGUGUGGUCCCUCACUGGGCCGUGCCGAAGCUAACGCAUUAAGUGCUCCGCCUGGGGAGUACGGUCGCAAGGCUGAA